CGUGCACAGGGCUCCUGUCGCCUCGGGAGCGGCGGACUGGCGGCCUGGGCCGCGGAGGGGCCCCCUGUGCUGCGGGACUGGGGGAAUCGGGAGCAGCCCCAGCGCGGACCUGCGAACUGAGAAAGUAGAACGAAACAGCAUGAAUCUCCCUCUCCCGCCCCGGCUCUGGGUAGCCUAGGCGAGGGGCGCAGAAGAUGGAGACAAGAUUCGACCAUCUUCCCUGAGCAGAGAGGGACCCGUGCGCCAGCCAAUCAGAGCGCGGCUCGGCCGCUCCCCGCCGCCGCCGCCGCACCCUCGGGGAGAGUGAAGUUCCCGCAACUGGCCCGCCCGAAGGAUCCGUGUCUUUCUUGUGCUCACAGCCCAGCGGAGGCAGAGAGAGCGCCAACCAAACUUUAUUAAUCUCUCCCCGUUCUUUCUCUCUCAGCCCAGUGCAUCUCAAAGGUCAGCCCUCUUCUUUUAAAAGACUGAUAUCAUUAAUUCACUGACAAUCCCUCCACCCCCACCCCAUUCUUUUUUUCUCUCUUGCAGGAAAAAGAAACGAGGGGGGGGGGAAAUAGUGAAAAGAGGGUUUUUUUUAUCCUUUUUUUUUUGUCCUUCAGUGGGAGCGUUUAGACAGUCGAGGAGGUUUUGUCCAGGAACAAAACGCAGGGUUGGGAGGUUUUGUGAGAGCGUUGUUUGUUGAAGUGGAGCUAAGAAAAAGCGGCGGCUUUCUCCUCAUUGUGAAGAAACCAAUCAGUGGUAUUUGGAAAACUGUUAGCAUUGUGCACUUCUUCUGUGUCCAUUGUGAGGCGUUUCUUUUCACAAGGUUUUUUUUUCAGCCGAUCCAGCUGGCCGGAAUGAAUAGCGGUGCAAUGUGUACACGCUUUGUCCCUCCGGCCUUCAAGUAGCCCCCAUUGAAUAGACUAAGUUGACACUGCGUGACAGUGAAACAACAUAAUAAAAAAUACAUGAGCCCCUGAAUAGGAGCAGGCGCAUAAAUAAAUAAAAUGGGUGACCAAAACUGGAUAAACUGAAUGACAAAACGGUGAAAGGGGAACAAAAAGAUAUUUAACACGCUAGAUUAGCAUUAGAAUGCGAUCUACAAGGCAGAACAAUUGAUGAAUAGGUUUACCGGCCAAGAAAGAAAUGGACUAAAUGCCCUUUGAAUAGAUAUGCUUUUUGCAAGGGUUUUGAAUAGAUAUGCUUUUUUUUUUGCAAGGACUGAAUGGGAAAAGGUAAAGAUGAAGCUAUGCAAAUGAGCGGGGGAACUUUUAAUAUAUAUUCUUUAAACACACACACACACACUGCGGGAGGAGAGUGCCGCCUCGGGGUGUUUAUAGAAGCAAUAAUUGCCAUUAUUAGCAUUGUCUGCAACAGAUAGAAAUUGAACAGGUUGGGAUAAUAUAGGGUAGCAGUAAUUAUUCUUCUAAUUAAUGGUCCUUUGCUACUUUUAAAAAAGAAAAAAGGAAAGAAGUAAAAGUUAUGCAGAAGUUAUGUUUCCUGUGUCCCUUCGCCCAGCGUUGGAAUCCAUGGAGUGGCAAGUCUGGCCAUUCCAAGAUGCAUGCUGAUUUUAGAACAUUCCAGGGAGCCAAUCCUUAGACUCAGGGUUUGGGGCCUGCUUUCCAUUUAUACUGCGUUUUUGAGAGUCUCAUACAGCGUCUGGUACAUGGUAGGUGCUGAAUGAAUAGUUGCGGAAUGAAUGAACGCAUGUAAGUUUGAUAGAGGAACCCUGGCCUCCUAUGGAUGUCGGGGAGGAGGAAUACCAAGGAUGGCUUUCGCAUUUCACUGCCCCUAACCUCCACCUUAUCUAGGGGAACGGUCCAAAACCUGAAGGGUUUUGUCUUCAGCCUACCUGGGCCGCUGGAAAAGAUGUGAAGACCAAACAAGUGACGAGCAACUACUGCCCCCCCCCCAUUCCUCACUCUGUCCUCACCUCCAAAUCCGCCCCAAAGCUUGUGAGGAGUCCCAUCUGGCUGCGUAGAACAUUGGACCCACCCCCUUAAAGAAUUAGAAUACACUUAAAGCUUAGCUCUUUCUCGCGGGCUUCUCCCCUUGGCUCCUACCCCCCCUUUCCCCUCCUGGCUUGUAAGCCUUUGACUGAACCCCACGCAACAGGGAACCUCCUGCCUGAAUUGCUGGCGGAGGCAGGGCGCGAACCCGCGGAGAUCUGCGCUGUCCUCAGGCUCCCUUCGCUGCCCCGGGGGCAGGCGUCGGUAACCUUGUCAGUUGUUUUAUGUUCAAUGGUUGACCGCCAAGCCUGCCCGGCUGCUGGGCCACCCAGCCGUCGAACUUUCCAGCGGCUUUCAGCGCUGCGCAAACUUAAAUGAAUAAUGCAAAUUAUAGACGGCCCAGCUGACACGUCCCUGCGAACGCGCGUAGGUUCAGAGGGCGCUCUGAGCAGCAGCUCUCCCGACCUCCCCGACGGCCGGCGGGAAGCUGGGUUCUGAGAAGCAGUGACAACUGCUUCUGAAUUGUUGAGACAAAAGGGGGGGGGGUGUCCCGAACUUUAA